CCCUCAAAAUAAAAAUCCAAAAUUCCCCAGACCCAAAGAAACUGGGGCAGAAGUUUUGGUUUUACAAAAGAUCUGAUUCCAAAAGUUGUAAUUUUGAACCCUUUUCAUCUUAAAUUAUUUUGAGCCUUCAUGCCACCCUUUCUUUCUAGCAUUGUCCAAAAGCCUAAAUUACGGUCCAAAAAAAGACCUUCCGAUCAAUCUUUGAGGAUGCCAAGUCAAGCGAGAUAGAAGUAUGAUUUACAUCAUGGGUAACAGUUUGUUCAUAGGCAUAAAGGAAAAAUGAAUAAAAUGAGAGAGUCUUAUUGGUUAAAACCCUCACAGGCACCGUAAGGCGACUGUGAGAUGAGAGAAAAUUUAAAAUGAGAGUCUUAUUGGUGAAAACCCUCACGGGCACCGUAAUGCAAUGAUGAGUUGAGAGAUAAACAAAUGAAAGAAGCUUGUUAGUGAAAACCCUUCGGGGCACUACAAACCGAAUGAGGCUCGUGACUUUACAAAAAAUUGGAUAAUUGAAAGCCCAGUUGUGAUGUAUGAAGACAUGAUAUGAACGGAAAAUAUGAUUGGUUGGACGGAUUAGGUCGAUCAAUCCGAAAUGCAUUUCAUGAUCAUUGGAGCCAGCCGCUUCACUCAGAUAAGUCUUCUUUUCCAUUCUUCUUCACAUAGUCAUCUUUGUUCAAAAUUUUCCUUUGUUCCUUUUGCCAAAAAAACAUUUCAUUAUGCUCUUGGAGUCUACCUUUAUGAGUCUCUUUCGAGUUAGCCCUUGUUGUACAAGUAGGAAAGGAUUCCAAAUCCUACUACCAGCUUCUUGAUUGCACAAGGUGAAGUUUGGCCAAGCACAUAGCCAGUAAUAGGUCAGAAAGAGUAACUGGUGAUAACUAAAGUUCAGGUGAUCAAGUGAAUCUUGAAUUUUGAGAAAAUACAAGGAUUCAGCAACUUUCAGAAUGAAAACACAAUGCCACAAGUGAGUGUAAGUGAUUCAGGUCAUUCAGAGGUUUUGUGGUCCAGUUCCAAUCAAAAGGUUAAACAAUUCCUUGGUGGCCCGAAGCAGCCGAUCAAAAUGAAGCAUGGCAGUGGUAGAAGUAGACACUCAAUAAUGACGCCACAAACUAACCACCGCAUUUUCAAACUAAUAAGAUUUUAUUUAUCUGAAACAAGGGCAAGAAAAUUUGUUAAUCCGCAAGACCCUCCAUGGGGAAAACAUGGUUCAAGGGCAAGGAAAUUUUAUUUUUUCUGCAAAGAUCCUCCAGAAGAGAGCAUGGCUCAGGUAAGUUCAUUUUCAAUUUUUCAGGACCCUCCUGGAUAAUAGGAUUUAAGUUUUAAGUUCUUAGGUCCCUAAUGGAUAAUGAGAUUUAAGUUUUAAGUUUUUAGGACCCUCCUGGAUAAUGGAAUUUAAGUUUUAUGUCUCAGGACCCUCCUGGAUAAUGGGAUUUAGGUUUUAAGUUUUCAGGUCCCUCCUGGAUAAUGAGAUUUAGGUUUUAAGUUCUCAGGACCUUCCUAGAUAAUGGGAUUUAAUUUCAAAAUUUGAAGGAUUUAGGUUUUAAGUUUUCAGGACCUUCCUGAAUAAUGGGUUUAAUUUCAAGUUUUCAGGACCCUCCUGGAUAAUGGGAUUUAGUUUUAAGUUCUUAGGGCCUCUUAGAUAAUGAGAUUUCGUUUUAGGUUUUACCUUUAGGAAAUAGAAUUUAGCUUUAAGCUUUCACUCUUAAGAUGAGAUUUAAUUUUAGUCUUCAGGACCCUCUUGGAUAAUGAGAUUUAGCUUUUAAGUUCUCAGAAUUUUUUGGAUAACAAGAUUCGACUAACACUCACAAACGUUCCUAGUACAAACUGGGGCAAAAAGUUUUCAUUGUUUUUGUCUGUUUUGUUAUGUUUGCAGGCACCCACCUGGAGAACGAGGGUUAAUAUUUCCAGAUUAGUUCCAAGUCAGUAGCAGGCACCCACCUGGAGAACGAAAGAACUCAUUUCAAGUUUUAAGUCAGUCGCAGGUGCCCACCUGGAGAACGAGGGAAUUUAUUUCAAUUUUUAAGCAAGUCGCAGGCGCCCACCUGGAGAACGAGGGAAUUCAUUUCAAGUUUCAAGCAAGUCUAUCACGACCCAAUCCCUGAACCCGGUCGUGAUGGCGCCUCUCGUGAAGACAAGGCCAGCCAGACCAAAACGGAACACCUCUUUUAAACAAUUAACCAUCAUAAACAGUAGUAACAUAUAAUAUAAUAUUCAUAAAUUGCGGAAUUUAACAAUAAUAACAGCAGGAACCAUCCCGACACAGCCCAAACCGGGGUGUCACAAGUCAUGAUCUACUACAGAAUCUGCUAUAGGUCUACAAAGUACGGAAUCCGAUACAACAGUCUGAAGAAAACAUAAAUGAUAGAGAAUAAGAGAGACAAGGGGCUGCGUACGUCAACAGCUACCUCGUAACUCCAAAUCACUGCAAAGCCUGGAAGUAAUCAGCGCUCAGGUGCGGACUCUGCUAUGCCUGAAUCUGCACACAUGGUGCAGGGAGUAAUGUAAGUACUCCGACUCAGUGAGUAAUAAUUACAAAUAAUGGCUGAAAGUAUGAAAACACACAAAGGCACAAAGCAAUUCCAUAUCAAGUAGUAAAAUCAUUUAAAGUAGUAAAUCAGUGAAGAAAUCAAAUGAUAUUCCUUUUUUAAAACAAAUAAAACAGGUAAUUUAACAGGUAAUUAACAAGUAGAAAUCCGCCCCUCGGGCACAGUAUCAAUCGCUCAGCAUAGUAUCAGCCCCUCGGGCUCACUCUCAGUACAGUAUCAGCCCCUCGGGCUACCUCACAAUCACUCAGCAUAAUGGUCAGCCAUUGUUACCUGACCAAAUUUCAUCAUACAGUGUCACUGUUACCACUGUUUCAAAUCACAUGGGUACCCGCGCUCACUGUGGGUGUGCAGACUCCGGAGGGGCCCCUUACGGCCCAAGCGCUAUAUCAAGCCACCUCGUGGCAUCAUCACUUAGCAUAUCCUCACAUCACUCAAGACACCGCAUGGCAUAAAUAGUAUCUCAGGCCCUCGACCUCAUAUCACUCAGCAUAUCCUCACAUAUGGCCCUCGGCCUCACUCAGUCCAGAAAUCAUCAUAAGCCCCUUGGGCAUUAGUAAAACAGUAGUUCUCAGCCCAAAAGAUGAUGUAGAAAUAUCAUUUAAGUUUCAAAUCUGAGUAAAACUGGCUGAGUUUGUAAAACAGUAGAUAUCAACAGGACUGAGUUCAAAUAUUAAGUCAAGCAGUAAGGAAAUAGUGAUAAAAAUCCCCGAAGGGUUCAAAUAAUUGGCACAAAGCCCAAAUAUGGCAAUCAACCCAAAUUAUGAUGAUAACAAAUGAAUUUCAGUCAAAUAUUCAGUAAAGUCAUCAAUCGGGAUGGACCAAGUCACAAUCCCCAGAAGUGAAAGACCCCACGCUCAUCAUCCAGCGCGUAUC
rnacentral:lncRNA from 1 species